AUCAAUGCUAUCUGCCAAUAGCUCGAUUUUCCAGGUUUCUUCUUUCCAGAGUGCUUCCUCCCUCAAGCUGGUGAAAGGGAAAGCCAGGCUUCCCCAAAUCCACAUCAUGUAGAUUGCAUUGGGGUUGACUACUCUCCCUUGUGGAUCCAAAACCACAAGCAAGGGCCUCUUGUUGAAGUGCCACACCUCUUUGAUGUACCUGAUGACUGCAACAUCUAGCAAUGAAGGGUGAUAGACAGAGUACCAUGGCAUCAUCCUUUGAAAAUCCUCAAACUGCUUCUGCUUUGCUUCAUUCCACGGGGAUGAUCUGUCCACAACUGGGAGCCAUACAACCUCAUACUGGCUCUCUGGUCUUCCUGGUUGCUCCCGCGCCUCACUGUACAUUUGUUGCAGCAUUGAAAGCUCUUCAUGGGAGAUUUCGAGGUCCGAAAUCAGCAGCAACACGCUCCUCCUUCUCAACACAUCAAGGCUUGCCUGUAAUUAACAGUGGGAAUUCUGUUUUAUCCUUGUAUAUUCAUAUAGGAGGAUCAUUAACAAAUAUUCUCGUCAGGAAGUAUGAUUGAUAUCUGCAUAACUAUUAUGUGGUGAGAUUUCAAGCAGGUCUAGCAUGCGGUUUUUACUCAACAAUCUCUCUGGUCUAUAUCAUCCAGUGAAUUAACUAAAAAUGGACUGAAAGAACAGAACAAUAACCGAACCCUUUUCUUGGUGGAACCAUCAAAGAGUGGUAGUUGAUCGUCCUUGGCAUAAAUCAAAGCCUUUAGAAUCUUCAUGUUGUCAAUGUGGAAAGCUUCGAACAGGCUCACAAGUGUUUGAAAUGCUUCAAUAUGUCUUUUCUCAUCUGGGUCACAGAGAGAUCACUAGUUAUCACCAUCCAGCAUGUAUUUUGCAUCAAAACAUAAUUUUUUUUAAAUGGUGAAUAUUAUAAUAUACUGUUUGAUAUGAAUUGCACUUGUUUGACAGGGCUCGGACUCACCUAUGUGUUGAAAACAAAGCGUGAGCUGCUUCAUGAGAUGGCUGUGAAUGUUAUUAACCUUGUGGGCCAAGCUUGAUAGCUCCCAAGCCUCUGUUGUGGAUGCUAUGUACCUGUGGAGCAGAUAGUGAGAUGCAAAAGAAAAGUUUAGCACCCUUUUCACUCUACUUUUGGUUGCUUUGCAUGCAUGUGAAAACCCUUCUAGUACUUUCAUAGCCAGAGCCAGAGUGGACUGAGCUUGUCUACAUGUUAUUUUGGUGAAAGAAUAUUUCUGAUUAAUAUAAGCAAGUCAUUGAGAAGCAACAUGUAUAUUGGCUGGGAAUGGAGCAAAUUUAUCAUGGAGAAGGAAACACAUACUCAUGACCCAUGCCAAUAAGGCCCAUAAUUUGGGAUGCGCAAGCCACAAUACUCCUGAUGGUCCAGUAAACAGCAGUGGGGAUAUGCGCGGUGGCAGUUAACAUUUCUGGAGUGUCAGGGGUGAUGUAUUGCGACGGAAGCUCCUUGAACUCAACUAUGCAUUUGGCCACAUCCAUCAUGGCCUUGAUAAGGCCUGUGAGUGCCUCAAACUUGGGCUUCAGAUUGUCUGCUCGUUCAAUUAUGUCCGGCAAUUGCUUCAGAAGUGCAACCGCCUUAGCUAGUGGGUUUGUAAGGUAAAGCUGGGCGACAAGCCAAAACUCCCCAUAGUUCACGGCAAAUCCAGCUAACGCUAGCACCACCUUUUCGUCCCACGAGUAGUUUGAUACCAAGUUAAAGAUUGCCAAAGUUGUUGAAUGUGCAUCUCCACCUCCAGAACACUUGCAGGACAUCUGUUGGAAAAAAGCAGCGUAUUCGUAAGUGUCUUUAAACAUCAUGAACUUCGAAACCCACAAAUCUUUUCUGUCCGAACUUACCUCGCAGGAAAUCUUGUUGAUAUUGUAAGAGAGCAUCUCGAUCGUUUCAUGAAAGCCAUUUUGAAGAGCCUUCUCCUCCAACUCAUCAAGUUGUGCUUGAUGAGCUCCCUAAAAUAUAUAUAGAAGUCACCAGUGAUGAUCAGAAACAUAAUAAUAAUGCUGAAUAAAUUAGCAUGCAAGAGGCAGUACUACUGGUUUUGUAUAUACCUGCUGCUGAACAAUGCUGGUCAUGCCUAGGGCAGGAGUGGCACGGAGGAAAAUGUCCUCAACAAUAUGAAGAAGAGGCUUCACUGAAAAUUCACGGCCAUCGGGAGCAUGAGUGGCCUGAAUUUGCUUCAUCAUUGCGGUGUCAUCCGAUGAUGAAAACAUACUGCGUUCACGCCUCAUCUUUAAAGGUACCACUGCCAUCGAGGUCAUAGAAAACUAUAUAGAUUCAAAUUCUAAGAGGGAAAGAGAGAGGAGCGAACAGCUUGUGUUGGUAUGGAUGUGGUUAGCUGAUCCGAGACUUGUAUUUAUAAGUCAAAUUAAGCUAGAAUUAAUACCUUGCUUCAGACAGGGUCUAAGCUCUAAAGUGCACCAGGGAUAAAUUUUGGAUAAGGUCUUGUCUACAAUAUUGUAACUGAUUUUACUAUCUCGUUUGGCUUUGAUUUUAACUAUGUUGUCGAAGAUUCGAAUACUAUGAUUGCUGAUUUUACUGUAUAUAUUUUGUGGAACACGUUGAUGCUGAGUUUGUCACACAGUCACAGUUUAAAUUUUAAUUUUGUGGAACACGUUGAUUCCGAGCAUGUCACAGGUCCAUACUUUCCGGUCAGCCCAUGAUCGGAAUGUUGUUUCAGCGGCAACGCCCUUGCUCUGCUUGUUGAGACUCAGAAGCUGAAAUCCUUUCGUUUUCUUAUAGAAAUCAUUAACGAGUUGUAACUCAUCUGACAUCAAUGUAAUUUACUCUUUUCAAGAGAUCUGGAAUUCAAAUUUCAACGUCAUAGAAUGAAAUUACGUUCUCAAACAAAGAUAAAGGCAGCAGUACUCUGAUCAUAUUAUUAUGAUGGAAGGCAACAUUCAAUCCACAAGCAAUUAUCUGUGCUGCUGCACCCGUGUGUAAAACAAAAUUUCAUGUGUUAUUCUGAAAUGGUUGCACGUUAAUUUUAACCAGACAAUACGAUGAAGGAAUGGAGAAAAUGUUUAUGAACUUUCUCUGAAGAAUGUUUCUUUGUCUUUUAUGACGUAAGAAACCUUUCAUCAUUAAAGUUAAAGGUGAUUAGAUGCUCAUUGUUUUCUCUGUUUUUUCCAUAUCACCAGCAAUAAUGACGCAUCUCUUUCCUUCACUUUGUGGUAGGGUUUUUGUGUUUUAAUAUUAUUUUUUUAAAAAAUUAAUUUUUUAUUUAUUUUAAAUUAAUUUUUAAAUAAUUUUAAUAUACUGAUAUCAAAAAUAGAUUUUAUUUAAUUAUAAUUUUUUAAAAACACUUUAAAAAAUAAUUAUAUCAUAAAACCAAACAAACUCAUCAUCAUUAAUUAUUAAAAAUAAAUUUUAAUAGUUCAUGAUAAAUAAAUAAAUAAAUUCAUGUUGUUUAUUAAAACUAAUUAAUUAGUUUUUAUAGUAUAAAAAAUGAUUAAAGAGUCCCCUAACCAAUACUUACCAUCCUUAAUUCAAUAGGAUUUUCUUUUCUUCUAAGAAAUUUCUACUUUUCUGAUUAGAUCUCUUCAUCUUACAUGCUUUUUUAGUUUCUCUUUUCUUUUUAUUUCUCAAAAACAAAAAAAUAAAAAUAAAAAUAAAAACCAAAACAAAUAUAAAAUUGAAGAAAGGAACAUCCAAACCAAGCCACCUUUCUAAAUUUAUGAGGAUUAAUUGAUUAAUUAAUUUUGUCAAACUGUAAAUACUAAUUUAUAGUUUAGUCACCACGAACCAUCCAGAUUCUGAACUCUAAGCCAAGCCACCUUUCUCCCCAUUUCUUUACAUUUUAAAAGGGUGUUUCCUAUUUACUCAUCCUGCAUGAGUCAAGUUAUUUAUGAGAAUUAUAAAAAAUAUUAUUUCUUCCUCGUAUUAAUUAUUUAAUUAUUUAAUUUUAAAUUAAUAUAUUUUUUAGUAUUUUUAGAUUAUUUUGAUACACUAAUAUCCAAAACAAUUUUAAAAAAUAAAAAAUAUUAUUAAAAUAUAUUUUUAAAUAAAAAAUAAUUUAAAAAACAAUUAUAAUCAUUCUUCCAAUUAAAUCCUUAAUAUAACUUAUCAAAAAAGUACUUUAAGUCAUUGUAAUACCUUUAAAAACUGUCAAUGGUCGUGCGCGUUGCCUUACAUGAGGUCGUUUGAAACUUUGAAUAUAUAACUAAGCUUACCCAACUACAAAUCUUUUUUAUUAUUAUAUAUUUACUUAAAAGGUACUUUUAUUAAUUAAAGUUAAAAAUACUCAAGCGUUGCAAACGUAACUGCCAAUUUUUUUUUUUUUUUAAAAAUGAUGUGAAAAAAAUUAUUAGAGUAUAAUAAAAAGUUAAAGGUUAUAAUUGAUUGCUUUUUUUCUUUGAAAAAAGUAUGAUUGAGAAAGAAGAGUAUUUUGAUAGGUAUUUAUUCCUUAAUUAAAUAAAAACUCACCAAAUUAUAAGUGUGAUUGAAAUAUAACAUUAUUUCAAACUAAUCAUAAUGAAAUUAUAAAAAAAACCAUCCAAGAACACUGAAGGAAUAGAAAAAGAAGGUCGUCUUUUAGUUCAACUUUAAUUUAGAACAAAUAUAAAAUAUACCAUAAAACAAUUGGAUCAUCAUCGAUUUGCACUUAGACUAUCCAAACACCCUUGUUUAGAUCUUGAAAGAACAUCACAUAUAAUCACUCCAAAUGAUUUUUGAUCCCAUCGAACUUGAAAUAAUAGCUCAAACUUUAUGAAAUUCCAAAGAAUGACAUGGGGACCAAAAUCAAAGCAUAAGGUGGAAAAGGAAAAGGAUAAGGAAGAACCUUAUAUUCUCUAGACUUGAACUCCAAGGAACGUGGGAAUAAGGCAGGCGUUCAACACCUAUACCAGGGAGGGGGGGGUAAAAAGUGGUGGAUAACAAGUUUUAAAAUUUGAGAUCUGCCGAUAUGUCACCCAAAAUCCGUUUAAUUUGGGACCGAAUUGGUCUGAAUUAAAAAAAAAUAAUAAUAAUUGAUUGACUCAGUAAUCGAUUUAAUCAAGAUCUGACCCGGUUACAGAUGACUAACAAUUCAUUAAAUUGUUUUUAAUCUUUUUUUUUUUUUUAUCAAAACAUAUUAUUUUGACUCUUUAAAAAAAUUAGGUCAAUCUGAAUUAAUUAUUCCGACUCGUAACACAGACUUGCCUUUGUUGUUUUAGGUCGAGUUUUAACAUUAUAAUAUAUAAGUUAUUAAGUUAUUGAGUUAAUCUUUAUCAGUUCAAUUUAAAUAAAUUAUUUAAAAAAAAAAAUAAAACUUCAAAACCCAAUCUAAAUCUAGUCAAGUUUGAACCAAGCUAAUCAUGUAAUUAAAAACUUAAUCGAGUUAAUCAGAUUUGAUCUAGUUAAUGACUUUUUAGAUUCAACUUAAGGGUCAUGGUUUUCUAGUAACAACUAGCGGAGACCGGCCGGGUUUAACAUCUAUGAAAUAAUUAACUAUGCUAGUACAGGAAAACUAAUAAGAAACCACAGAUUUACUGCUCUUUGCUUCUAGCAAGUUAGGUUUUUUUUUUUUUUUUUUUGGGAGAUUCUAGUUUCUUUCCUUGCUGUCGUCUUUCUACUAAUUUUAUCUCAAUGAGCAUACCUCCAGAGGAUCAAUAGCUGCAACUUGUAGAAGGCCGCCUUUUCUACCUUAUUUUUCUGCUCUUUAUCUUUAUACAGAUCGCCGAGAAUUAGCAGAACAAGCAAGGAUAUAGUUACUGUAUUGUUUACUAAGAACAUGAUCAAGUGUACUGUAAAAUUAAGUUGCAUCAAUCUGUAAUUAGAUGAUCAUAAUAAAUUGUGAAGCAUUCUGUUUAACAGCGAUAAUAAAAAAAAUAGCUUGAUGUUUGUUUGCUCAGUACAUAUCGAUAUUUCACUCAUAAACAACGUUCUUCUUCAUGGGAUGCUCACACUACUCACACAGUACAGUUUCUUCUGUUAGCCCUUCUGCGUAAGGAACAACUUUCGAAUGAUUUCAAGGCCCUAGAGGAGGAGGAGGAGGAGGAGGUGGUGGUGGAUCAAUGGCAGCUCUAAGUGCUGACACGAAUCCUAACUUUGCCACAUUUUCUUCCCAUUCUGGAAACCUAUCCAACCAUUUUAUUGCUUCACUAGCUGAAAGUUUUACAAUGUCUGCCGUAUUCCCUCUUCCGAUUAUGGCCCACCCUCUAACUUCUUGCGGUAAGGAUGAUCAUAUGUUCUAUCAAGCAAUCCCUCUUGUGGAAGGAGCUCUGCCUUGGAUACCAAAAGUAAAACUACCUUGCCCUUCAUUUCAGAUACACCUAGCUGUAAAUGAACUCAAAGAAAAUCGUAUCAGAUGCAAUGUUGUGGAUAGAACGAAAAUCAUAGGUUUUUUUUUUGAAAUCCAAGGAAGAAAAAAAAGUGAAUAAUAUUUGCAAGGAGACAUACAGUAAAACAUCAUUCUCUUGUUGUUUUUUAUUUAUGAAAUUGAGAAAAAAAUUAAUUAGAUAAAAAAAAUUUCUAAUCAAUUCGUCAAAUUUACAAUUUAAAUAAUGAAACUAAGAUAACCUUAUAAAAAAUAAAUUAUAAAAAUUAUAAAAGUCAAUCUCAAAUAAAUUUAAUAUUAAAAAAUAAAAUUAAUGUUUUCAAAAAAUAUAAAUUAUAAAAACCAAAAUAAAAUCCCCCUUUAUCUUUAGUUUUUUGGUGAAUUCAGAAUACAGGAAAGUCUUAACUCUUAACCUCCACAACCCAACCCAACCCAACCCAACUCGAACCCACGUGCCCCGGGAGUACCGGUUAGAGUGAAGCCCAUCCGUGCUGGAUUCCAUUAAUUAUCAUUCUGGGCCUUGGCUCGAGGGGCAUUCUUGUCAUGUCACGAAAGGAAAUCACAUCCACGCUGUAUAAAUAAAACCCCUAGCACGAGCACUAGAAGAAGCAUAAGAAUCCCUAACGCCGCCCUCCUAUGCUCUCGUCGCUUUUCUGUGUAGAUCAACUUGUUUUUAGGAUCUGAUUGGUAUUAAAAUUGUUGUUGUGGUUAUGAUUUUAAAAAAAUUAUUUUAUAAAAAGUAUUUUUAGAGGUUGGUUUGAAAAAAUAUAUGUUUUGGUUAAAAUUAUGGUUGAAAUUGAGGUUGAACAAAACAUAGUUUAAUGUGUUUGGUAAACAAAUGCUUUUCAAAUUGAGGUUAUAAAAUAAUUAAAUAUAUAUAUAUAUAUAUAUAUUAAUGAUUUUUAAUUUAAAUAUUGUAGAUUUAACCACUGUUAAUAUAUCAUGAAAUAAAUAAUAUUGAUAUCAAAUAUUUUUUAUUCUUCCAUUAAACUAUGUGCAAUGUCAUCACAUACAAAAUCUAUCCAACAAGAACUAUAUUUUUCAUGGUUUCUUAAGCGCGCAACAACAAAAACUGAAUUUUUUGUUACAUCAUUAAGCGAUCUCCUUUUAAGUUUUUGAAUAAAAUACAAUUAAAAUAAAAAUAAAAACUGAAUUUCUUUUUAUGUAGUGUUAUUAAAUAAUAUUAAAUACUAGUUUUUCAAGUAAAACACAAUUUUUUAAAAAAAUUUAUAAUUUUAUUAUGUACAAAAUUUAUUCGACAAUAACUACAGAAAAAAUAAUUUUUUGAGCGUGCAAUAAAAUUAAGUAAAAUAUUAUCAGGAAUAAAAUUGAGAUUACAAUACGAAUAAAUUUAAUUGACCUUAAACUAAUUUUUUAAAAAAAUAAUAUUGUUCAUGUUCACGUGAACUGUCAGAGAAAAAAGAACGAAUGGAUCUUGUAGGAUUCCCAAGAAAUUCUUCGAUUUCUUCCGGAAGCAGAUGAUUAUUCAUCUCCUUCGCACCUUCCGUGAAUAGCCGGGACAUUGAGGAAUAUCCAGAAAGACAUUUAGGGAAUCGGUCUGAUUCUAUCUCUGUUCGUUCCGUUUGAAGAAAGGAAGGAUCCCAAAGAAUCGAUCUUUUUUUUAGUUGUUGAAUCUCUCUUUGAUUGAUCAAUGUGUGAUAUUCCGAAUCCUCAUUACUAAUGGAAUCGAAAUGAUCUCUGGAUUGAUCAGAAGAUCCCUUCAAUUGGCUAGAAUCCCUUCCUUGAAGGAAGCUAGAUCUUGUGGAAUCAUAUUGAAUAUUUGACAAUAUAUUCUGUGCCUUGCUAAAAAACCGAUCCUUGUUUACCAAGCACACAUUGUCUAACCAAAUCCACUAAAAUCAAUUAAUUACACUAAUUUUUCAAGAAAAAAAAGAACUAAACUUCUCGCAAUGUUUUUCAAAAAAAAAAAAAAAACUAAAACUGUAACAGUGCGAGUGAAUUAAUUCACUCGCACUGUUCACUGAACAGUAGAGCCACUGUUCUGCUUUUCUACCCUACGAGCAGCAGCAUUUUGCUGCUUCUCCAAAACAUGUGGUGUGGCUGAGAAUUUGAUGGGUCCCACCAACAAAAAACAAUUUUUUCUUGUUAACCAAACGGUAUUUGAUGUGGCUGCGGGUGAACCUUACCUGCAACAACGUUACCAAACGGGCAUUUAGUCUCAAUUUGUUUGUGUUUCUUGUUUUUGUUUUUGUUGUUAAUCGCUUUCGAUAGGUGUUGCGUUCUUCAAUGGCUUUUACAGAUCCGUAAGGACGUGUCAACGGAAGCGUAUAUUUAUUGCAAUCCCAAACCCUUUUAUAUAUAUUAAUUGAUAUUAUUAUGAUCAAGCUGGGUUAUUAAAUAAAUAUAUGAAUUUGUUUUAAGAUAAAUUAUUAAUUUAUGUAUAUUAACUUUUAAAAUAUUUAGAAAAGUUUUAAUUUAAAUAUAUUAUUUAAAAUAUAAAAAAAUAAAUUUAAAAGUACAUAAAAUAAAAAUAAAAAUAAAAGUAAAAAUAAAUUUAUUAUUGAAGUUAUAUUAUUUGAUGUUUUGUGAAAUAUAAUUUAUUUAUAAUCAAGUUUGAAUCGAUAUUGUAAUAAUUUUUUAACUGGAAUAAAAUAACAAUUUCAUGUCAACUAAAAAAUAAAAUAAUUAAUUUUUUUUUAUUUUAAUUUCUCAUUUCUUCACUUGAUUUUUUUUAUUUUAGUAUUUUAUAAGUUGGACUUCAUAAGUUUACAAAAAUAUUCUCUUAUGUUUUUAUAUUUUUAUAUUUGUUUUUUAAUGUUUUCUCCUUACUUUUCUCUCUUUCUCUUUUACCUUUUUUUUUUUUCCUGUUUUGCUACCUAGUCGGCAACAUAUAAAAAGAAAGAAGAAUUGAUUUAUUUUAUUUUUUAAUGGUAAAUAAUCAUUUUAUCUUUAAUGAGUCGUUUUACUUUUAUUUAACAGUUUUUAUUUUUGUGUUAGCAUUACAAAACUCUGUUUAUCCUAAAAUUUUAACCAUAUUUUAUUCAAUAUAUUUUAAAAUCCUUCAUAAAAUUUCAGCUCAAUCUGAUAGUUAAAUUGAAAAUUAUAAGUAAUAAUAUAAAACUGGUCAAAUUAUGAUUUUUUAUUAAAUUUUUAAAUUUCUCUAAAAUUUCUAAAUUUUUAAACUAAGUUUAAACAUAGACUAUUCCUAAAUUUUUAAAAAUUUUAAAUAACUCAAUUAUAAAUUAUUUUUUAUAUAAAACCAAUAAAAAAAUCUUGAUAAAAUCUUCAACUAACCCACCCUAACCUUUGCAUUGCCUCCGCCCUUGUUACCACUGUUAAACAGCACGGUGCUUUGUUUCCAGCACCGUGUUACCUGUCUCUUGUUUUCUACUGUUUAUUAUAAUUUUAUGGUGAUGAAAUUGAUCGAUGCCGGCCUGUAAACAAAUCUUCCUUCUGCGAAAUAAACAAUGUAUUCGAAUAAGGAGCAGAGAUAGAGAGUUCAAAGAUCGAAAGAUUAAUUCAAGUCUUCAUGAACUUUCAUGGGGAAUACGAGAUUAAAAAUGCCCCUCGCAACAAGAAGUCUGAAUCAGUUACUGGAUGUUAUUAAGGGUUUGACUUUUGAGUAUUGAUUCAAAUCCCUAAAGUUUCAAGGCGUUAUGUUCUAAAUCAAAUCCUUGUCAUCGAGGCCUAAGAUAUGCUCUGAUUUCUAGGAGGUUUUCCGAUGAGUGAACAUUGCCAAGGAAAUGGACAUGUAGAAACUAGAAAUGGUACUGCAAACAACACCUUUCAUUAACAAUAAGCAACAUAUUAAAAUACAAAAAACAUGUAGUAGUAGAAAAGCCUCGACAUAUUCCACACCAGAGCUGAUGUGCAUCAUCACAGAUAGUAGCGGCAGCGACGGUGGCCGUGUCUGCCUUGGUUUUUAUUGAAAUAGAUAGUGAUUUAAAACGUAAAUAGCAUACCGUAUUACUGGUAAUAAAGCUCAAUCGGUACAGCAACGAUACAUGAUGAACUUCUCCAUGGGACGGCCGCAUUCAGCACAAACAACCUUCUCUGGGAUGCUCCCUGUAGCCCCUGGCAGUAUCAGACGGUUGCAGUGGAAUGGGCUAUGGAGUUCAUGGAGGUAAUCAUUCAGUGCAGGCAGAAAACCCUUUUCCUGUGCACCCUCCCUCCAUGUCUCAAAGUCACCAAAAGAUUGGAGUAUGGUUUCUCCCUUUGCCUUGGCCAUACCAGCAGGUCCCCUGCUGAUCACAGCCCACCCUUGAUCACUUCCAUCGAAGCUGAGCAUUGUCAUUAUCUCCUGCAUGAUGACGUCAUUCUCUACAGUCCUCUUGUGUUGCACCUUGGAAUGCCACAUGCUCUCCAGCCUCACCCAAAAGAACCAGAUCAAAGUGAGGUCUGGCAAUACAUGGCUAAGUUUCUCGGUCGUAAUAAUAGUUUUUUUCCUAACUUUCUCCCUGGGGUUGCUCUUCCCUACAUAGAGCAUUUCUAACGUUAUAGCGGCCUUGCUCGCAACUUCUUUUGCAGCAACGGUGAAUUUACGGAUCCACUCAAUGUCCUCCCCACCAUACAAGCAUAUGUACUUCCCUUGGUCUAUCUGCAAUAACAAUUAAUUACUUGUGUUAAAUCCAUGAAUAAUGCGCGUAUGAAAUUCCUCUGCACCUUGUCGGGUUUACAAAUUAGUUUCAAGUUGGAAAUUUGAAUCCCUCUGCUAGAAAUUGCAGGUAGUAGAUGAUGUCGAUAGAAUGUUGAGAUAAAGACUGCAUUUUAGUUUGAUUAUUGUAUAUGCAUGCAAGAGAGGAAAGCUAUACCCAAGACAAGAUCAUUGGAUCAAUGCUAUCUGCCAAUAGCUCGAUUGUCCAGGUUUCUUCUUUCCAGAGUGCUUCCUCCCUCAAGCUGGUGAAAGGGAAAGCCAGGCUUCCCCAAAUCCACAUCAUGUGGAUUGCAUUGGGGUUGACUACUCUCCCUUGUGGAUCCAAAACCACAAGCAAGGGCCUCUUGCUGAAGUGCCACACCUCUUUGAUGUACCUGAUGACUGCAACAUCUAGCAAUGAAGGGUGAUAGACAGAGUACCAUGGCAUCAUCCUUUGAAAAUCCUCAAACUGCUUUUGCUUUGUUUCAUUCCACGGGGAUGAUCUGUCCACAACUGGGAGCCAUACAACCUC
rnacentral:lncRNA from 1 species